rnacentral:rRNA from 1 species
UACGUAGGGGGCAAGCGUUGUCCGGAUUUAUUGGGCGUAAAGAGCGUGUAGGCGGCCAUACAGGUCAGCUGUGAAAACUCGAGGCUCAACCUCGAGACGUCGGUUGAAACCGUAUGGCUAGAGUCCGGAAGAGGAGAGUGGAAUUCCCGGUGUAGCGGUGAAAUGCGCAGAUAUCGGGAAGAACACCCGUGGCGAAGGCGGCUCUCUGGGCCGAAACUGACGCUGAGGCGCGAAAGCCAGGGGAGCGAACGGG